GUUUGAAAGCCGAAUAUAACCAGAGAAGGCAAGCACCGAGAACUCAAGUGGGUUGGAAAUGGCUUCCAAUGCAGCAGUGCCGUUCUGGAGAGCAGCGGGGAUGACUUAUAUAACGUACUCAAACAUAUGUGCUAAUCUGGUGAGGAACUGCCUCAAAGAGCCUUACAAGACCGAAGCUCUCACUCGCGAGAAGGUCCAUUUUGCCGUCUCCAAGUGGGUCGAUGGCAAGCCCCAGAAAUCCAGUAUGAUUCGAAUCUUUCUGGAUCUGGGAUUUUUGAGAUGUGGUUCUUUUCUUUACUUGAUUAUUUGCGAUUCUCAUUUUGUUCAUUGAUUUCUUGGAUUUUGAUCGUGUUUGCUUCUAUGUGUGUAAAUGUGUGUGAUUGAUUCUUGGAUUUUGAUCGUGCUUGUUCUCGACGCAAAAUCAAAAUUUUCAGUUGAGAUUCCGUUAGUCGAAAUUCAUACUUAUCUCAUAAGGAGAUAACAAAAUUUUCUUAAUUUUAGGGUAUAUUUCUAGAUUAAUUUAUGACAUUCUUAUUUGCUACUAUGUCAAUUGUGGUGUGUUAUUUUUCAUUAAAUAGUUUUUGUCAUGGAUACUGUCAUUUAAAAUUCUAUUUAGAAGAAAAAGAGAACGUGGUUUAUGCAUAAUAUGCUAUGUAGUCGACAGUUUACUUCGAAAUGUUUAGCUUGCAUAUAAUUGAUUUUAAUUUUGUUAUGAUAAAAAUUUUUUAUAUGGUUUUAUUUUUUCAAUAAACUAAAUCAAACUGUUUUAAAAUGGUGUAGAAAAUUUUCAAAUCAAACAGAAAUUUUUUAUUUGUAAACCAAACCAAACUAUAUAAUCCAAUUUAGCUGAUUUGGUUUAAUGGUUUGAAUUGAAUAAUGACAUCCUUAAUCAUAACCAGUCAUCGUGAGAUGAUCUAGUGAUGAGACAAGGGCUUAUAAGUUGCAUGGGAUCAAAGUUAUAAAAAUGUUUCCAGGAUCAGAUGCACAGGUUGUGCAGUUGUAUUUAACAGAGUACUUUGAUUUAGAGAGAAUAACUAUUUGAUAAAUUUCCUAUUUAAGUAUGUGAUUAGUUUAAUCAAUAACAUCAAGUUUAUUUGGUCGGAUCCUCCUCCUAGAAUAUACAUGUUGCUUUGACUGAUGUCUGGAUUGGUAUAAGGCUUCAAGCAUCUUCUCCUCCUACCACCCCCACCCUCCCCAGCCAGUGUUUUGCUGAAGUACUUUGAUGCCUCCUAUUUGAUUCAGUCUCUUCAUCUACAAUACUUUCUUCUUUUUUUUUUUUCCCCCCCUUUUAAUCACCCUGUUUAUAUUAAUAUAAGAGUAGAGAAAGAAAGAAAAGGGUAAGAGGUUUUGGGAAGGUCGUUUUUGGUUGAGAUAGAAGAUUCUCAAUGCUGCUUGGUGUUAGUUCUUAUACUGUAGUUUGCACUGUAUUGGCUUAAUUAACAACACUAAUGAAGAGAGAAAGCAACAUUUUAAAGUUUCAGGAUUUGAAUCUCAUACAAAUGAAGGAUUUCAUGUGAAAAGUAAAGAAGGAAAACCGGCUAAAAGAACACUAGACUAAAAGGAAAACAAAAGCAAA
rnacentral:misc_RNA from 1 species